AGGAGAGUUUGAUCCUGGCUCAGGAUGAACGCUGGCGGCGUGCCUAAUACAUGCAAGUCGAACGAGGUAGCAAUACCGAGUGGCGAACGGGUGAGUAACACGUAGGUAACCUGCCCUUAAGCUUGGGAUACCCAGAGGAAACUUUGGCUAAUACCGGAUAACAACAGAGAAGGCAUCUUCUUUGCUUGAAAGGCCCCUUCAAGGGUCACUUAAGGAUGGACCUGCGGCGCAUUAGCUAGUUGGUGAGAUAACAGCCCACCAAGGCGAGGAUGCGUAGCCGAACUGAGAGGUUGAUCGGCCACAUUGGAACUGAGACACGGUCCAAACUCCUACGGGAGGCAGCAGUAAGGAGUUUUCGGCAAUGGGGGAAACCCUGACCGAGCAACGCCGCGUGAGCGAUGACGGUCCUUUGGAUUGUAAAGCUCUGUUGUAAGCCAUGAAUGAUAGCUUUAGGAAAUGAAAGCUAUUUGACGACAGCUUACCAGAAAGCCACGGCUAACUACGUGCCAGCAGCCGCGGUAAUACGUAGGUGGCAAGCGUUAUCCGGAAUUAUUGGGCGUAAAGAGUGAGCAGGCGGUUGAUUAAGUCUGAGGUUAAAGCGUGGGGCUCAACCCCAUAAAGCCUUGGAAACUGAUUGACUAGAGUACGGGAGAAGUGAAGGGAACUCCAUGUGUAGCGGUGAAAUGCGUAGAUAUAUGGAAGAACACCAGUGGCGAAGGCGCUUCACUAGCCCGAAACUGACGCUCAGUCACGAAAGCGUGGGUAGCAAAUAGGAUUAGAUACCCUGGUAGUCCCCU
rnacentral:rRNA from 1 species